rnacentral:rRNA from 1 species
UACGUAGGGUGCGAGCGUUGCCCGGAUUUAUUGGGCGUAAAGGGCGCGUAGGCGGCCACGCACGUCCGUUGUGAAAUCGCCCGGCUCAACUGGGCGGGGUCAGCGGAUACGGUGUGGCUCGAGCAAGCUAGGGGGGCAAUGGAAUUCCUGGUGUAGCGGUGAAAUGCGCAGAUAUCAGGAGGAACACCGGUGGCGAAGGCGGGGUCUCUGGGCCGAUACUGACGCUGGAGGAGCGAAAGCGUGGGGAGCGAACAGG